GGGCGGCUGCAGCGAAAGAGCUUGGUGCGACGUCUCACACCAUUUUGCUGGUACAGCCUACCAAGAGACCAGAAGGCAGAACUUAUGCUGAUUAUGAAUCAGUGAAUGAGUGCAUGGCAGGCAUUUGUAAAAUGUAUGAAGAACAUCUGAAGAGAAUGAACCCCAACAGCCCCUCUAUCACAUAUAAUAUCAGCCAGUUGUUUGAUUUUAUUGAUGAUCUGGCGGACCUCAGCUGUCUUGUUCUCCUACCAUCUUGCUGGUACA